GUGGAUGAAUAAAAGUUGAAUAAAGAAACAAAAGGAAAAUCAACACAUUGAAUUAGGAAAUUUAUAAGCAUAAUUACUGAUGAAAAUCAGGCAAUCAAUAAUCAUUGGAUCUGGUUCUAGUUUCUGCAGAAUGAGCACUGAUACUAUUCAUAGAACUUGUCAUAAUUUGGAAGCAAAUACUAAUAAUAAAUACUGAUUGAAUAUCUCAUGUAUCAACAAUUAACAGUUACUUUGUGCAAUAUGUUAGAACACAUUUUAAAACUGUACCAAGGUUCGAUGUCCAGAACGAAACUUUG
rnacentral:lncRNA from 1 species